ACCCCCUUAGUAUAACAAAUUACACUACUUUUUCAAGGUAGAAAAGGGAAACCUUCUCAGGGAGUA
rnacentral:tRNA from 1 species